rnacentral:rRNA from 1 species
GACGAACGCUGGCGGCGUGCUUAACACAUGCAAGUCGAACGGAAAGGCCCUGCUUGCAGGGUACUCGAGUGGCGAACGGGUGAGUAACACGUGGGUGAUCUGCCCUGCACUUCGGGAUAAGCCUGGGAAACUGGGUCUAAUACCGGAUAGGAGCCAUUUUUAGUGUGAUGGUUGGAAAGUUUUUUCGGUGUAGGAUGAGCUCGCGGCCUAUCAGCUUGUUGGUGGGGUAAUGGCCUACCAAGGCGGCGACGGGUAGCCGGCCUGAGAGGGUGGACGGCCAAAUGGGGACUGAGACACGGCCCAGCCUCCUAGGGGGGGGAGCGGGGGGGAAUUUUGAAAAAGGGGGGAAAGCCGGAGGGGGGAGCGCCGGGGGGGGGAUGCCGGCCUUCGGUUUUAAAACCCUUUUCGCUGGGGAAGAAGUUUUUUGGGGCGGACCCUAAAAAAAAAGCCCCGGCCAAUUCCGG